AUUGAACGCUGGCGGCAUGCCUUACACAUGCAAGUCGAACGGCAGCACGGGAGCAAUCCUGGUGGCGAGUGGCGAACGGGUGAGUAAUAUAUCGGAACGUGCCCAGUCGUGGGGAUAACGUAGCGAAAGCUACGCUAAUACCGCAUACGAUCUAUGGAUGAAAGCGGGGGAUCGCAAGACCUCGCGCGAUUGGANCGGCCGAUAUCAGAUUAGGUAGUUGGUGAGGUAAAGGCUCACCAAGCCGACGAUCUGUAGCUGGUCUGAGAGGACGACCAGCCACACUGGGACUGAGACACGGCCCAGACUCCUACGGGAGGCAGCAGUGGGGAAUUUUGGACAAUGGGCGCAAGCCUGAUCCAGCAAUGCCGCGUGCAGGAUGAAGGCC
rnacentral:rRNA from 1 species